rnacentral:rRNA from 1 species
UACGUAGGGUGCAAGCGUUGUCCGGAAUUAUUGGGCGUAAAGAGCUCGUAGGCGGUUUGUUGCGUCGGCUGUGAAAUCCCGAGGCUCAACCUCGGGUCUGCAGUCGAUACGAGCAAACUAGAGUGUUGCAGGGGAGACUGGAAUUCCUGGUGUAGCGGUGAAAUGCGCAGAUAUCAGGAGGAACACCGGUGGCGAAGGCAGCUCGCUGGGACGGUACUGACGCUGAGGCGCGAAAGCGUGGGGAGCAAACAGG